rnacentral:tRNA from 1 species
AGCCCGGUAGUGUAGGGGCCAAGCAUCCAGGACUCUGAAUCCUGGGACGGCGGUUCGAAUCCGCCCCGGGCUACCA